UGUUUCCUUGAGCUGCUGCCACGUGCUUGUCCUUCAACAGCCGUCGAUACUAAAAUCUACCCUUCCCUUUCCGAGGUUCUCCGAUCGUUGAAGUGCGUGGCUAGUUAGGAGUUGAGCCUAGAUUAUAUGUUUGGCUUUGGGCUUAGCUGUGAGGCAUUUGUAGAUAUUGAGUUUGGAAGAUAUUCAUCAAUUACAUUGAGGAGGCUAGAAGAAAAACAUCUUCAUCAACUAUUGGUUUUUCACAAAAAUCUUGUCGUAAAAGAAAAGCAAAUAACUUAGCAAUUGACCAUGUGACUGAUAAACUUGGUGGUAUGAGCUUGCAAAAGCCCUUCAGUCUUUACAUAUAUAAUUGCAUCAAUGAAAAUUACAUUUAUGAGCAAGUAAUGACUAUUGAUCAUGGAUUUGAUAAAGAAGGUAGAUAUGUGUAACACAUUUGAAUAUUUGAUGAAAAAUGAGGUAGAAGCUAGAAUUUUCAAGGCUA